CCCGUGCCUCCUGAUUGCUGAAUGUUCGCCUGGACCCUCCAAUGACCUUCCUUCUGCUACUCCAUCAGCCUACAGACCUGGUACUUGGAUUUUUGUCCAUGGUGAUUCCUACCAUCUUACUACUGAAGAAGACACCAUUCCAGUGGACCACUGUGACCCAAGAAGCAUUCAGCCAUCAUGAUGUGGCCUUUACCUCCACUCCUGUCCUACUCUGCCCAGAUUCAGCACAGCCCUUUAUAGUGCAGUCAAGAGUCUUCAAGCCAAAUAACUGAAGCUAUUUUAUCACAAGGAAGGCCAAGUUUAUUCCAUAAAUGUAUAGUUCAUUUCUGCAUUUUAUUCUUCAGAGACACAUACAUUUUGUGAACAACUUAUCACUGAUUUUCCAAAGGCUUUGUGCUCAUGAAGUUCUUUGAAGGAAAGCUAUGUGGAAGUCCAGAGUAAAGUGAAGCUGUUCUGGAUGAAGUAGUGAAGUAGGAGUUGAGGCCUACAACCUGCCACAACCAUCUUUACCACCAUGGUGAUGCCUAAAGGGACUUCCUUAUGUAAAAUUCUUCAGAAAAUCCUGCUUGAAACCACUGCCCUUGACAUGUUUGACCUGAAUGGCAUUCUCUUCUUUUGUGUACUUUCAACUCAAAACAGUUCAUUCUCAGUUGAUGCUCAACAUGUUUGGAGAUGCUUUAUCCAGAGAAUGAUAAUAAUACAGCAUUGUCUAAUGAAGCUUUAUUAAUAGCAUUCCAUCCAAGGUGGACUUCAUGGAGAACAAUGAAUAUGUAUUCCUACACUGAAGAACCCCAUUAACUUUCAGAAACCUGUAACUAGUGGUACUGGAAGUACAUGACUUGGAACUCUAUGUAAAUUGCCUGAGAGCUGGUAUUGAAGCUGAUGCCUCUUUGAGGCCAUCUUAGACCAAGUUGUUCAUUUGACCUCUCCUCAUUAACUAUGGUAUUCCAUGUACAAAGGAUAACCAUUAACUAUGAAGCAGAAUUGAAAUACAAUUUUUCCUAAAGGGAUUUGCAACCUGGUUAUUAUUCAUUGUCUCAAGUUUUAAGUCAUGUUGAUGCAACUAGUAGUUAUUAAACUGCUUCAUGGUUUUUGUUAUUUAAUACUCUUUCCAGGGCUUAAAAAAAAAAAACAAAACUAAAUUUCUCCAACACAUCUAUACUUGUCUAUUCAAAAUUAACUACUCACCACUACAUGGAACAGAUGAUCCUGAAGACACACUCUUUGAGCAUUCUUUAUCAUACAUGUGACUUAAGAUGUGGCUGAAAAGUUUCCCUCUACCCAGUGAAAUAUUAAAUGAUUAGUCUUCAUGCCUGAUACCAUCAACUGUAUGUGUGUGAUAGGCAAGGUUUGACAUAGGCAUUUGACUCUAGGCUAUGAUAGCUUGCUAGUCACUUCAAGUAGCAUAUUGUCAACCUGUUUGCUGGAAAAAUAGGCUAACUUGGAAAAAAAAAAUCUAUGAAUGGCAGCUAAGGAUUUUUUUCAAUAUUCCUGAGUUUCUGUCCUUGGGAUAUUUCAAUGGAAUUUCACCUGUCUCCUCACCUAACAGAAUGACUUACUUUAUUCCUUACUAUGAAGUAUUCUUAAGACAUUAAGAUUACUUUUGUAGAAAGGAUAAAAUUCCUGAUUAUAUAAAUCAUAGUGAUUAAGACUUCAAUUUGUGACCUGAGAAAAUCUCAUUUCUCUACUUCGUAGUCAAUUUAAGGGCCAAAUGCUAUCAGCUACUCCGAGUGCACUGGGUAAACGUCGAAACUGCCUUCUUUAAGAUCCUUGUUUCUUGUCCUCUAAUCAUGUUACAUGAUUCUCACCACAAAUCAGCAAAUCAGACUCAGAUCUGGUUAUUCUAGACUGUUCACAGUUAACAAAUCAAACUCUGACUUCUGCUAUUUUCUAUUUUCUAUUUUCUAUUUUCUAUUACCUGUACAUUGCUAGCUCUUUUGUGUUUGCAUUAAAAACAAAACUAAGCUACACUGCCAGUUAUUCCCUCCUGCCAUACUCGGUUAAAACAAAGAAUCGGGAAUAUAAUCAGUGAUUGGAAAAGUAGAAACAAAACUUAAGGCAAAAGCCUUAAUCUAAUCUAGGGCCUUUUCUACUAUCUUCAUGUCUUGGAUUUCAUCUAAAUCAACAGUGCCACCCAACCAGUCUGAGGUCUUGACUUGCUUUUAAGAUUAUUCUUAGAGAUGGGCUGUAUUACAGAAAGUGAAGACUUGAUUACCAAAGAAAGUAGAGUCAACUAUGACAAACUUGGCUCUAUGAUCCUAUUGCUCCCAGAUGUAGCAUAGAUUCAUAACUAGAACCUCAAGUCUGCAUUGAGGAUAUAGCCUUCUAAGCUGACAGUUCUUGCACAGAUGAGCAAGAAAAUGAAAGCUGUUAUACCCAACUGCCCUUUUUAAUAUCCAAAAAUAAUAUCUGGACUAAACCCUGUGGAGUACCCAGGACAAAAACUAAUUUACAGAGCUUCAUUGUUAAUCUGCCUGUUCCAGAUUAUAGCUUAAUUAUUGGUAUGGCUGGCCCUGCUGAAGUUGUCUGUUUACCUGUCUUCAGCUCUUAACCUGCCUUUUUUGACAUGCUACUGCAAUCAGACUAACUGGUUUUGAGAAGACUACAGUCAGUUUCAGCCGCUCUUGUGCCCAAUUCCACCAAGGAAUUUUGAAUAGAAGGAACCUGUACCUUACCCACCAGAACAGGAAGGAUCGUGCUGCAUAUUCCUUGACCAGCAACUUUAAGUAGAGAAUUAGAGAACAACCCUGCUUAUUUUCAACGCCUGAAACAUCAAUUUGAUCUAAUAAGAGUAUAGAAGGUUGACAGCAGAGUACAUUGCUUAUUUCUUUGGUAACUCAGAAAUAAAUAUGAUUGGCCCAGAAAUUGUAAGUUCACCUUGACAAGAAACAGCAACACCAGAAGUUUACUGCUGAACUUAAUUACCACUAACUCAAAUAGUCUCAGACCUGCUUGCCAAGUAGGAGACUAGUUUUCCUGCUUCAUAUCACCAUUGUGGUGGGGCUCUGACAAUACUGACUUGAAUGGGGACCUUGUGGUGAAUCCUAGGCUAUGAUGCUAAUGGAAAUUAUUGUCUAUUCAAGUGAAUUGUAGGUUUUCUGAGGACAGAACAGACAUCACUCUUGGUGAUUUUUAGAAUUUGAUUACCAAGGAAGAAAUACCAGCUGCUAAAAGUCAACUUUAUGGGCAAAGAUUAAGUUCUAUAUCUGGUCUUAUCCUGGAUGCUAGUUUUUAUUGCCCAGCGACCAUUUCCAUCUCACUCUUAACUUCCUGAUGUUUUUGGAACCAUCUCUUCCAAUUUUCAGACCUUGUGGUUUAGGCAGUCUUUUUGUGCUGGACAUUUUGUUGCAACCUCAUCAAUCACAGCAAAGUCCAUCUUGACUCUAGUGAUUAGUUCAGGAAUGGAUGCAUGAUUCAAGUUUGUCAAUGAUAAUCAACCCUAGGUGUUUUCUCAGUUGUGGAGAAGUUCUCUUAGAUGCUUUAGCUUUGUAGGGGAAAACUCAAACCAACAGGGCCUACUAUGUUGAAUGAACCAGGCAGAAAAUGAAGCCAGUACAGAGGGAAAUGGAGCCAAAAGAGGAAGAGACUUGAGUUCUGAUGACCACAUUUAUGCCCCUGUAUCCAACUGUGCCUGAAGCUAAUAGUACAUCACCUGGACUUUUCAGUUAUGUGAACCAAUAAAUUCCCUUUUUUGUUUAAGUUA